AGAGCUGGAGAGGAGCAGAGGAGCAGAGGAGCAGAGGAGUAGAAGAGCAGAGGAGCAGAGGAGCAGAGGAGGAGAGGAGCAGAGGAGCAGAAGAGCAGAGGAGCAGAGGAGUAGAAGAGCAGAGGAGGAGAGGAGCAGAGGAGGAGAGGAGCAGAAGAGCAGAAGCGCAGGGGAGCAGAGGAGCAGAGGAGCAGAGGAGCACAGAGCUGGCGCAGGGAGCGGUUCGCCGCCACAUGUGACCCGCUCUGAGUGUCUGUCCUCGGCGUAACUUCAGACUGAACUCAUGGAUCAAACUCUGUAGCUGCUGCGUCCUGCGGAUCCGCUUUGGCCCGUGCGUAAAGUGACUCUGGAGCUCCAGCUCCGCAGAUGACUCUCUAAACCAACACUUUGAGGAGCGAGGAGGGGCUCAUGAUGGGCAGGUGACACCGAGGUCAGUGAGCAUGGACCAGACAGAACACUCUGCCCCGGACGGCUCCGACCCAAAUGGGUUUGUCAACGAAGUGUUUAGUGUGUCUUUGGACAUGGUCAAUGAGAGCAACUCUGUUUGUGUUCAGGGGCCCGUCCACUCUGAGGGGCCCGGGGACAGACAGGAAGUGCACCGCAGGGCUCGUACCACCGGGGGCAUCUGGAGGAUCCUAAACCGAAAGAAAACUGUCUCUGAGCUGGACCGACGGCCUCACUCCAUGGUCCUGCCCGGAGAGGUCGACAUUCCCAAACUCUCCUUCGCCGACAAAGUGCGCUCUUUUAAGAAACUCAAGUCUCCGUCUGCGUUCAGAACGAAAGGGAGGUUCUCCUCUAAGCACAGCAUCUCUUUAGUGGACGAGGAGUCGUUCUGCCGAGAUAUCGGCACGCCUCAGCCGCACAGCAGGGCGACACUACGGCACAGAGGUCAGAGGCAUUCAUACGCUGGACACACAGGGGAGUUCGAUUCAUUUGAACAUCUGGACCUCACUGCUCCUGCAGAGGCCAAGCAGCCAUCUGUCAUAGACUCUGUCCCUCAGAAUGGAGUGAAGCUUUCAGACAGAGUCUGCUACACGAAACGAAACUAUAACAACUCCUCC
ensembl:lncRNA